rnacentral:rRNA from 1 species
UAAGGGCGCACGGUGGAUGCCUUGGCACUAGAAGCCGAUGAAGGACGUUACUAACGACGAUAUGCUUUGGGGAGCUGUAAGUAAGCUUUGAUCCAGAGAUUUCCGAAUGGGGAAACCCAGCAUGAGUUAUGUCAUGUUAUCGAUAUGUGAAUACAUAGCAUAUCAGAAGGCACACCCGGAGAACUGAAACAUCUUAGUACCCGGAGGAAGAGAAAGAAAAUUCGAUUCCCUUAGUAGCGGCGAGCGAAACGGGAAGAGCCCAAACCAACAAGCUUGCUUGUUGGGGUUGUAGGACACUCUAUACGGAGUUACAAAGGACGACAUUAGACGAAUCAUCUGGAAAGAUGAAUCAAAGAAGGUAAUAAUCCUGUAGUCGAAAAUGUUGUCUCUCUUGAGUGGAUCCUGAGUACGACGGAGCACGUGAAAUUCCGUCGGAAUCUGGGAGGACCAUCUCCUAAGGCUAAAUACUCUCUAGUGACCGAUAGUGAACCAGUACCGUGAGGGAAAGGUGAAAAGCACCCCGGAAGGGGAGUGAAAUAGAACCUGAAACCGUGUGCUUACAAGUAGUCAGAGCCCGUUAAUGGGUGAUGGCGUGCCUUUUGUAGAAUGAACCGGCGAGUUACGAUUUGAUGCAAGGUUAAGCAGUAAAUGUGGAGCCGUAGCGAAAGCGAGUCUGAAUAGGGCGUUUAGUAUUUGGUCGUAGACCCGAAACCAGGUGAUCUACCCUUGGUCAGGUUGAAGUUCAGGUAACACUGAAUGGAGGACCGAACCGACUUACGUUGAAAAGUGAGCGGAUGAACUGAGGGUAGCGGAGAAAUUCCAAUCGAACCUGGAGAUAGCUGGUUCUCUCCGAAAUAGCUUUAGGGCUAGCCUCAAGUGAUGAUUAUUGGAGGUAGAGCACUGUUUGGACGAGGGGCCCCUCUCGGGUUACCGAAUUCAGACAAACUCCGAAUGCCAAUUAAUUUAACUUGGGAGUCAGAACAUGGGUGAUAAGGUCCGUGUUCGAAAGGGAAACAGCCCAGACCACCAGCUAAGGUCCCAAAAUAUAUGUUAAGUGGAAAAGGAUGUGGCGUUGCCCAGACAACUAGGAUGUUGGCUUAGAAGCAGCCAUCAUUUAAAGAGUGCGUAAUAGCUCACUAGUCGAGUGACACUGCGCCGAAAAUGUACCGGGGCUAAACAUAUUACCGAAGCUGUGGAUUGUCCUUUGGACAAUGGUAGGAGAGCGUUCUAAGGGCGUUGAAGCAUGAUCGUAAGGACAUGUGGAGCGCUUAGAAGUGAGAAUGCCGGUGUGAGUAGCGAAAGACGGGUGAGAAUCCCGUCCACCGAUUGACUAAGGUUUCCAGAGGAAGGCUCGUCCGCUCUGGGUUAGUCGGGUCCUAAGCUGAGGCCGACAGGCGUAGGCGAUGGAUAACAGGUUGAUAUUCCUGUACCACCUAUAAUCGUUUUAAUCGAUGGGGGGACGCAGUAGGAUAGGCGAAGCGUGCGAUUGGAUUGCACGUCUAAGCAGUAAGGCUGAGUAUUAGGCAAAUCCGGUACUCGUUAAGGCUGAGCUGUGAUGGGGAGAAGACAUUGUGUCUUCGAGUCGUUGAUUUCACACUGCCGAGAAAAGCCUCUAGAUAGAAAAUAGGUGCCCGUACCGCAAACCGACACAGGUAGUCAAGAUGAGAAUUCUAAGGUGAGCGAGCGAACUCUCGUUAAGGAACUCGGCAAAAUGACCCCGUAACUUCGGGAGAAGGGGUGCUCUUUAGGGUUAACGCCCAGAAGAGCCGCAGUGAAUAGGCCCAAGCGACUGUUUAUCAAAAACACAGGUCUCUGCUAAACCGUAAGGUGAUGUAUAGGGGCUGACGCCUGCCCGGUGCUGGAAGGUUAAGAGGAGUGGUUAGCUUCUGCGAAGCUACGAAUCGAAGCCCCAGUAAACGGCGGCCGUAACUAUAACGGUCCUAAGGUAGCGAAAUUCCUUGUCGGGUAAGUUCCGACCCGCACGAAAGGCGUAACGAUUUGGGCACUGUCUCAACGAGAGACUCGGUGAAAUCAUAGUACCUGUGAAGAUGCAGGUUACCCGCGACAGGACGGAAAGACCCCGUGGAGCUUUACUGUAGCCUGAUAUUGAAAUUCGGCACAGCUUGUACAGGAUAGGUAGGAGCCUUUGAAACGUGAGCGCUAGCUUACGUGGAGGCGCUGGUGGGAUACUACCCUAGCUGUGUUGGCUUUCUAACCCGCACCACUUAUCGUGGUGGGAGACAGUGUCAGGCGGGCAGUUUGACUGGGGCGGUCGCCUCCUAAAAGGUAACGGAGGCGCUCAAAGGUUCCCUCAGAAUGGUUGGAAAUCAUUCAUAGAGUGUAAAGGCAUAAGGGAGCUUGACUGCGAGACCUACAAGUCGAGCAGGGUCGAAAGACGGACUUAGUGAUCCGGUGGUUCCGCAUGGAAGGGCCAUCGCUCAACGGAUAAAAGCUACCCCGGGGAUAACAG